GAUGAACGCUGGCGGCGUGCCUAAUACAUGCAAGUCGAACGCUUCACUUCGGUGAAGAGUGGCGAACGGGUGAGUAAUACAUAAGUAACCUGGCAUCUACAGGGGGAUAACUGAUGGAAACGUCAGCUAAGACCGCAUAGGUGUAGAGAUCGCAUGAACUCUAUAUGAAAAGUGCUACGGGACUGGUAGAUGAUGGACUUAUGGCGCAUUAGCUUGUUGGUAGGGUAACGGCCUACCAAGGCGACGAUGCGUAGCCGACCUGAGAGGGUGACCGGCCACACUAGGACUGAGACACGGCCCAGACUCCUACGGGAGGCAGCAGUAGGGAAUUUUCGGCAAUGGGGGAAACCCUGACCGAGCAACGCCGCGUGAAGGAAGAAGUAAUUCGUUAUGUAAACUUCUGUCAUAGAGGAAGAACGGUGGAUAUAGGGAAUGAU
rnacentral:rRNA from 1 species